rnacentral:rRNA from 1 species
CCUACGGGGGGCAGCAGUGGGGAAUAUUGGACAAUGGGCGAAAGCCUGAUCCAGCCAUGCCGCGUGUGUGAAGAAGGCCUUCGGGUUGUAAAGCACUUUCAGUGGGGAAGAAAGCCUUGGGGCUAAUACCCUCGAGGAAGGACAUCACCCACAGAAGAAGCACCGGCUAACUCCGUGCCAGCAGCCGCGGUAAUACGGAGGGUGCGAGCGUUAAUCGGAAUUACUGGGCGUAAAGCGCGCGUAGGCGGUCUGAUAAGCCGGUUGUGAAAGCCCCGGGCUCAACCUGGGAACGGCAUCCGGAACUGUCAGGCUAGAGUGCAGGAGAGGAAGGUAGAAUUCACGGUGUAGCGGUGAAAUGCGUAGAGAUCGGGAGGAAUACCAGUGGCGAAGGCGGCCUUCUGGACUGACACUGACGCUGAGGUGCGAAAGCGUGGGUAGCAAACAGGAUUAGAUACCCCUUGGC